AACGAACGCUGGCGGCAUGCCUAACACAUGCAAGUCGAACGCUCCGCAAGGGGAGUGGCGAACGGGUGAGUAACGCGUGGGAACCUGCCCAGUAGUUGGGGAUAACCGCGGGAAACUGCGGCUAAUACCGAAUACGCCCUAAGGGGGAAAGAUUUAUCGCUAUUGGAGGGGCCCGCGUCGGAUUAGCUGGUUGGUGAGGUAACGGCUCACCAAGGCGACGAUCCGUAGCUGGUCUGAGAGGANGAUCAGCCACACUGGGACUUAGACACGGCCCAGACUCCUACGGGAGGCAGCAGUGGGGAAUAUUGGACAAUGGGGGCAACCCUGAUCCAGCAAUGCCGCGUGAGUGAUGAAGGCCUUAGGGUUGUAAAGCUCUUUUACC
rnacentral:rRNA from 1 species